rnacentral:misc_RNA from 1 species
GAUGAAGAACGUAGCGAAAUGCGAUAAGUAAUGUGAAUUGCAGAAUUCAGUGAAUCAUCGAAUCUUUGAACGCACAUUGCGCCCAUUAGUAUUCUAGUGGGCAUGCCUGUUCGAGCGUCAUUUGUACCUUCAAGCUUUGCUUGGUGUUGGGUGUUUGUCUCGCCUUUGCGUGUAGACUCGCCUUAAAAUAAUUGGCAGCCGGCGUAUUGAUUUCGGAGCGCAGUACAUCUCGCGCUUUGCACUCAUAACGACAGCGUCCAAAAGUACAUUUUACACUCUUGACCUCGGAUCAGGUAGGGAUACCCGCUGAACUUAAGCAUAUCAAUAAGCGGAGGA